CAAUAAGACGUGCCCUAAAGGCUGGAGAAAGUUUGAUGGUAACUGUUAUAUACAGCUCUCUUAGAAAUCUACUUGGUCUGCAUCAAAGAGCGCAUGUCAAGCACGCAACGCUAAUUUAGCUCGAGUAACAUACGAGAGAGAACAUAAUUGGAUUUAUAAGACCUUUGGGGGUUCCCGUGCUUGGAUUGAUGCUACUGAUACACUUAAAGAAGGAAAGUGGAGAUGGUCCUCCACAGGAAAGAUGUUGACGUACACUGCUUGGGACAAGGGGGAACCUAAU